CCUCACUGCUUAACCUUGAAAAUGUUACAGAAGAUAUUGGUUUUUUUUUUUCCACUUCAUGAGCUUAUUGUAACCAAGUUUUACCAACAUACAUAUUGCAAUGUUAGUUUGCAAUUUUCUAUGGAAACAUGUGAGGGUUACAGACAGGAACAACAUAUGGUUGUUGAAAUUCUCCCUCAACGGUUCAUGUUUAACCCAUGCAAGAACACUGGAGAAGUAUACACUAAAAUGAUAAACUGGCUCCUAUGUUUAAUGCCUUAAAAACUGAAUUUAUUUGCUUAAAAUAAGGAGAGUUCAAUAAAUACAAUGAAACAAAAUCCUUUAAGGUCUGUAAACUCCUUCAUAUUUUCAGAAAAUAAUACUGCAUCUACAGAAAAGAAUGUAGCAGUUUGUCUUGCAAAAACAUUGGCUGUUGUGGAUCUAGAAUUAAACUAAGUCGAUCAAGUGUUGGUUCUUGUUAUUUGACAGCUUAGUGAUAUUGAUGACAGAGCACGGUAGCUUGCAGUAUUUUUUGAAGUGGUGCAUGGAGGGCA